UCCGUAGGCGGGCUAAUAAGUCAGGGGUGAAAUCCCACAGCUUAACUGUGGAACUGCCUUUGAUACUGUUAGUCUUGAGUUAUAUGGAAGUAGAUAGAAUGUGUAGUGUAGCGGUGAAAUGCAUAGAUAUUACACAGAAUACCGAUUGCGAAGGCAGUCUACUACGUAUAUACUGACGCUAAUGGAAGAAAGCGUGGGGAGCGAACAGGAUUAGAUACCCUGGUAGUCC
rnacentral:rRNA from 1 species